rnacentral:rRNA from 1 species
CAGCCGCCACGGGAAUACGAAGGGGGCUAGCGUUGUUCGGAAUUACUGGGCGUAAAGCGUGCGUAGGUGGUGGUUUAAGUCCGUUGUGAAAGCCCUGGGCUCAACCUGGGAAUUGCAGUGGAUACUGGGUCACUAGAGUGUGGUAGAGGAUAGUGGAAUUUCCGGUGUAGCGGUGAAAUGCGUAGAUAUCGGAAGGAACACCUGUGGCGAAAGCGGCUCACUGGACCAUAACUGACGCUGAUGCACGAAAGCUAGGGGAGCAAACAGGAUUAGAUACCCCCGUAGUCCCUGUCUCUUAUAC